rnacentral:rRNA from 1 species
CAGGAUGAACGCUAGCGGCAGGCUUAACACAUGCAAGUCGAGGGGCAGCGCGAGGUAGCAAUACUUGGCGGCGACCGGCGAAAGGGUGCGUAACGCGUGAGCAACUUGCCCGUAUCUGGGACAUAAGCGGUGGAAACGCCGUCUAAUUUCCCAUAACAACAGAGGCCGCAUGACCUUUGUUUGAAAGAUCCGUCGGAUACGGAUGGGCUCGCGAGACAUUAGCUAGUCGGCGUGGUAACGGCACACCGAGGCGACGAUGUCUAGGGGUUCUGAGAGGAAGGUCCCCCACACUGGAACUGAGACACGGUCCAGACUCCUACGGGAGGCAGCAGUGAGGAAUAUUGGUCAAUGGGCGCAAGCCUGAACCAGCCAUGCCGCGUGAAAAGGAAUAAGGCCCUAUGGGUCGUAAACUUCUUUUGUGGUGGGGCAAUAAGGUGUACGUGUACACCGAUGAGAGUACAUCACGAAUAAGCAUCGGCUAACUCCGUGCCAGCCGCUGC